CUGAAUUGCUAGGAUUACAGGCGUGAGUCACCACACCUGGCCGAAAUCUCAAGCAAUUUGAUUCCCAAGGGCCAGCCCAUGCCUUCAUCAGACUAUUCCCUGACACAUCUAAGUCACAGUAGAGGAUAGAGAAAGGCAUUUGAUCUUGACCUCAUUGCUCCUAGAUUGCAUCUACUUUUUUCCCAUAUAUGAUCAUCUGAAUGGUGUUUAUUACAGGGAUUUUUUUUUCCAUAAAAUUUACUUCCAGUGCUUAAUCCAUCUACUAUCAAUUCUGGGCUUAUUACUUUAAAAAUCAGUUCUGGGUGAUGGAUGAAUUGAGUCAGAAUCAUAAAUGUGUGCUUGUUCAAUACAAUAAUGGGUUAAGGUUACAUACCCUGUUUUGUAAAAUGUUUAAAGCCCAAAGAUAAAAGCUGUUCACCUAUCACCUUUUCUCACUCACCAGUGAUGCCUAAUAGCAGGAGUAAGCUGGGGUGGUCAGGUGGUGGACUGGGAACUUGCUGUCUUGGGAAAAGGAAGGCAAGCUUGUCUUGUUUCUUUGAAGCUGCUGACACUUGGCUUGCUGGGGACAUUGGUUGGACCAGCUAACAUUUGCUGUCCAUCCCGCUUUAAGGCAAUCAAAAAGCCACCCCAUCUGUUAACCUUGGCAGUAUUUAGCUUGUAGAUCACUCUUAAGUCCCCAGAAUGUUUUCAUACAGCGGUUAAAUUAAUGAUUCAAUCAGCCCAAUUAGCUAGAUUUUAAAUUGUAAUACAUAUCUUAUCCAAAGCCCAAAAGGAAAGGACUCUAUUUGCCUACUCCGGGUUUUCAAUUCGAGGCCAUUAGUAACUUCAUGGCAGUAUGGGCUAGUCCAUGAUCUGAUGGAGACUGGUUUAAAUUCACUCUUUUGAGAACAUAGAAGUUAGUUGAUUUCAGAAGUGCGAACCCCAUAAUAUUUGGUAUAUUAAUAGCUACUAAAUGUAUGCCACUGAGAGAACCUAAGCAUUUCAUCUGGUUGGCAAUUAGAUCACAUUUAGGAUAUGAUUACUCAGAUGGAAAAUUAGCUUUAUCUUUAAAAAAUAUCCUAUGUACUGACAACUUAGAGUCUUUGAGGGAUAAGUAGAUCAGCCAUGAAACACAAACAUUUGUUGUCACAUCAAUGGCAAGAAGACUUCCUGGUUUCAUUUAGGAGGGUUUGAUGGUUGUCUUCAAAGUGGUUGGAAGCUUUAACACAAUAAACACUUUGAAGCACAAUGCUUUGUCAUUCUCCUGCCUUAGGCCUGCCUGUUUCUGGCAUAGAUUAGCACUGUUUGUCUUUUUUUCCCCUUUCUUUCUUUUUUUCCUUUCUUCCUUUCACAAUGGAAGAGUUUCCCUUUAAUGAUUGCUUUUGUCCCAUGUAAGUACCAAACUUUUUAAAUGGUUUUUGGCUGUGGAACUCAACCAUGUUGAUAAAACUUCAUUAAUGAAAGGCAUUUUCUAUGGGAACUUUUGUUGCCAUAUUAUAGUAUUCGUGUUAGAACAUUGGGUCCCCUGUAUAACAGUGAUGCAGGCACCACCACCACCAUGACAGCAGGAAUUACAGCAGGACAUUAACUCUAGCCCUGGGUGGCUUUUUCAUUGCUGUUUUCCGACAAUGAUGGGACCUUCUCUCAACACUUCCCCUGAUGUGUUCCUGAAGAGAAGUUAGCUAAACCAAAAAACAUUCUUCAUCAUUUUUGUUCACUCAGUUGGCCUAAUAUUUCCCAAAACCAUCUCCAGAUUUCAACUGACAAGUUUUCUGCAAGAAAGAUGCUUCUCUGGUAUCUGCUGAGAUCAUUUGAAAUCAUGGUAGAACGCCCAGAAUUAUGGGCUCUUCUUGAAAUUGGAUAUCAUCAAACGAGGCACUAAUUACAGAACAAUUAACAAAAGCCUAAAAGGGUGUAAUGGAGAAUUUCUAAUGAAUCCUGACUUAUCAUGGCUGAAAGAAGACUUGAAGUUGGAUUAAUGUAGAAACACUGGAAUUCUACUGAAGGAGCUGGUGCUUGAUUUGAUAGAAAAAAAGAAUUAUUACACUGUUCUAUUCCCUUUUUCAGUUUGUAAAACUCCUCAGACAAUUGUUUUCUAAGAAAGGAUUAAACUCCUAUAUGAAA
rnacentral:lncRNA from 1 species